GGCGUGGUAGCUCAGCUGGUUAGAGCGCAGCAUUCAUAAUGCUGAGGUCGGUGGUUCAAGCCCACCUCACGCUA
rnacentral:tRNA from 1 species